rnacentral:rRNA from 1 species
UGGGGAAUUUUGGACAAUGGGCGAAAGCCUGAUCCAGCAAUGCCGCGUGUGUGAAGAAGGCCUUCGGGUUGUAAAGCACUUUUGUCCGGAAAGAAAUCCUUGGCUCUAAUACAGUCGGGGGAUGACGGUACCGGAAGAAUAAGCACCGGCUAACUACGUGCCAGCAGCCGCGGUAAUACGUAGGGUGCAAGCGUUAAUCGGAAUUACUGGGCGUAAAGCGUGCGCAGGCGGUUUGCUAAGACCGAUGUGAAAUCCCCGGGCUCAACCUGGGAACUGCAUUGGUGACUGGCAGGCUAGAGUAUGGCAGAGGGGGGUAGAAUUCCACGUGUAGCAGUGAAAUGCGUAGAGAUGUGGAGGAAUACCGAUGGCGAAGGCAGCCCCCUGGGCCAAUACUGACGCUCAUGCACGAAAGCGUGGGGAGCAAACAGGAUUAGAUACCCUGGUAGUCCACGCCCUAAACGAUGUCAACUAGUUGUUGGGGAUUCAUUUCCUUAGUAACGUAGCUAACGCGUGAAGUUGACCGCCUGGGGAGUACGGUCGCAAGAUUAAAAGUC